UACAGACGGUAGUCAAUAUUUUGCUGUUUACAAAUAAUCAUUUUAGUCCAUCAUCAAUGGAAAUGAGGUGUGGGUGUGUUUCUCUGCAUGACAAUAACACUGAUAUUCAUACAAUUGAAGAAGCUGCUACCCGGAAACAAUACUUUAGAAUAAAAGUAUGAUUUCAAAAGAAUUUUAUAUGCAUAUCUAGUGUUCAGGUGGCUCAUAAAUGUCUUAAGUAAAAGACUGAAACUCAAUUUGUACAGCAAAACCAUGGAUAAUGACACCUCGGUAGACCCAUUUUGCUUUUAGACAACACCUGGGGGGUAUUCCAGAAAGCAGAUUAUGUGACAUACCUUGGUAUGUUUAAGGGUAAGUUCGUGAAUAACCUCAACUUUCGGUUCCAAAAACGGGGUAACUUUCUGGGUAUGUAUGUAACCAUAGCAACUGACUCUCUGAAUAUAACCUGCUCGGGGUUAUGUUUCAGUGUAACUUCGUUGCAGAAGGUUGGUGAGCAUGGCGUGCCCUUUUGAUGAGGAUCCUGUGGACGUAGAAGCACAAAAGUUUCAUGGUUUCCAAAUGUAAUUGGGUGCAUUGAUGGCACUCACAUUCCUAUUAAAGCUCCACCAAUAAAUGAGGGAGACUAUGUCAAUAGGAAAUCUUUUCAUAGUAUCAAUGUGCAGGUAACAACUUAUUUUUUUCCCUUCUUAAAAUCAUUAAAGACAUUACUUUUUCCACUAAAUAGGUAAUAUGUGAGGCAACCCAAAUCAUUACCAAUGUCGAGGCAAAAUGGCCAGGAUCUGUGCAUGAUGCCAGAAUUUUCCGCAAGUCAUCAUUAUGCCAGACAUUUCAGCAGGGACAGUACAAUGGUUACUUGCUGGGGGACAGAGGAUACCCUUGUCUGCCCUAUUUAUUGACACCCUUCCCUGAACCUGAGCCUGGACCAUAGACACGGUUUUACCUGGCUCACAGCCGAACACGGGCCAAGGUGGAGAUGACUAUAGGGAUCCUCAAAUCUCGGUUCCAGUGUCUGCGUGGGCUCCGGGUUAGUCCAGAGAAGGCAUGCGACAUUUUAGUGGCUUGUGUUGUGCUUCACAAUAUUGCCACUAUAAUAAGAAGAGAGCCACCAUCCUUGUAUUGAGGAAGAUGGCCCAGAGGAACACCUACAUUUUAGAGGCCAACAGAGACGGAAGACUUUUGAGAGACAGGAUCUGUCAAAAUUACUUUUAUUAAUUUUUUUGCACUGGUCUGCCAGGCAGGUUAUUUCUUUAUUUCCUGAAAAACAAUAAACGUAAAAUUCAAUAAAAUAUUUUUUUUAUAUUGCUUAACACAUACAUACACACACUAACGGCUUGACUGAAAGGACAACGACAGUUUGUAAUGCAAAAAGGGGCCAUACAUUAUAAUGUUAUGCAUCAUACCUCAGUGGAUGUACCAGCAUUGUCCACUUCUGUCACAGCAGAUGUGGUCUCUUCAUCUUCAUCCUACAGGAGAAAUAUUCAAGUAUACAUUAUCUGGCAAAAAACAAAACAAAAAAAAAACCCUAAAAGCAACUAAAGGUACCUGACAACAAAUCACUUACAACUGUCAGACUUUGUUCUUUCUGGAGGGUCCAAUAAUACAAUUCGUCCAUCAGUAUCUAUAAGAACACACAACCCAUUAAAUUCUUGAUAUUAUCACAGAAAAUAAUACAUGAAAAGAGUAACAUGUCAGACUAAGAUCACAGUAGCCUAGACAUCAUAUGCAGUUAAAUAAAAUAAGCCUACAUAAAAUGUAAUCUUGUUCAAAAAGCCUUUAAGUGACAGAGAUAGUAAUUUAGUAGGACAAAAGAUUAAAACAAAUCAUAGAGGUAAACUUGCAUUUCACCAUUUUUUCACCAUCACUUGUGGUGCAUGGCGUGUGCGAGGAACUGCCCCCAGGAAUGCCAGCAACGACUGGUCGCCCUUUAUUAAGGGACAGAGCCAGCUCCUCAGAUGGGGUGAGGGGAGGUGGUGGUGGGCCCCCGCCAGUUAGACGGGCUUCAGUCUUCUUUCUAUUAGCUACAUGACAGAAUAAAUAUACUAAAUCCUGUUAGAAUAAUAGUUCAGUAAUUGUGUAAUCAAAUAUUACCUUUUUGCAGAAUGUUUUUGUGUUUCAUUUUGACUUCGCUUAAAUUACAAAUUUGGUAUUGGCUCCCGUUUUAUUAUAAUGCAAAAUAAUGAAGUAUGACUUAUACAUCCUUUUGAAUGUUAUAUCACUAUGAGCGCAUUUAAUUUCCCUCCCAUUUAUUUCUUUAGUUUAAAAUAACAAUGUAUAUUUCUUAUUUAAUAUGGUGUAAUCCUUCUGGAGCCACAAGAACUUUAAUACACUCACGCAUUUACUCUGUCCGUUAUUUUUUUGCCAAGCCAACUCUCUUGGUUUAGCCGAUGCAGCUGUAUUGCUUCUUUUUAAUAUUAUUGGCUUAAACUCUUCAUAAGCGUGCAUUAAAACCUCCAACACCGCCUCUGUGAAAUACGCCGCUCUUUUUUUCGCUUUGAGUUUCCAUGGUGACUCGGGAAAUCGGCGAUCCAUUGAAAAUGUCUUUAUAUAUGCACCGUGCACGCGCAUAAACUCUGGGUAACCAGUUGGAGGUUGAUUAAACUAACUUUUCUCAGGUGUUUUAGAACCGACACACUCACGGUAUGCCUGUUUGGGGUAAAUCAACCCAGAGGUUAUGAUUUAUCAAAUGGUAAGUUAACCAAGCUUUCUGGAAUACCCCCCUGGUAAUAAAGUGCAAAAUGAAUAAAUGAAUAAAAAUGUG